UAUUAAAAAUUUCAUUCAGUUAUAUAGUUAAAAACUAGCGUGCUGACAGAAUAAUUAGAUGGUGAUACAUGGCAACGUGCAUUUCAUGUUGACAUAUAAUUACCAAUUUUUAAUAGUAGAAAUGAAUUAAUUUUUUAACA
rfam:Gossypium raimondii Chr04_contig_948, whole genome shotgun sequence.